rnacentral:rRNA from 1 species
UGGGGAAUAUUGCACAAUGGGCGAAAGCCUGAUGCAGCGACGUCGCGUGAGGGAGGAAGUCUUUCGGGAUGUAAACCUCUGUCCUAUGAGAAGAAUAAUGACGGUAUCAUAGGAGGAAGCCAUGGCUAACUACGUGCCAGCAGCCGCGGUAAUACGUAGAUGGCAAGCGUUAUCCGGAAUGACUGGGCGUAAAGGGUGCGUAGGCGGUUUGUUAAGUCAGAUGUGAAAACCCACAGCUUAACUGUGGGCAUGCAUUUGAAACUGGCGAACUUGAGUGCAGGAGAGGAAAGUGGAAUUCCUAGUGUAGCGGUGAAAUGCGUAGAUAUUAGGAGGAACACCAGUGGCGAAGGCGACUUUCUGGACUGUAACUGACGCUGAGGCACGAAAGCGUGGGGAGCGA